rnacentral:lncRNA from 1 species
UUAUGAGAAAUCAAACGAUUUGAUCCUUUUCUCAUAAGAUGCUCAUAGCUCCCACUAGCUUGCCUAGAUUCAUGAUGGAUGGAUCUCUACAACUUACAUGUCUUGUGAUUCAUAGUUUUAGACAUAUAUUAUUAAGACCAUCUUAAUAAUGGUUUCGGAAACCCAUAUUAUGUCCAAACAUUGAAUCACCAUUUAGUUGUAGCUAGCUAUCUUCGAAUUAAUUGAAACCAAGACUACGUCAAAGAUGGUUUCUUCAAAGUCAACCAUUCCUUUUUAUUGUAGUUACCUUAAGCUACCAAUUAGCUUAUGAAGGUUUCAUUAUUUCGGGUCAAAUGGUACUUUACCAUUUCCUUGAGUAUAUAUCGUAUAUACACUCAAUGUAGUCAUAAGGAUUUUCAUUCUUAUUUCUUUCGAAUUAAGAGGUGUAACUCUAUGACAUAGUCAUAAAGUUCAAACCAUUCAACUGAGAUGGUUUAUAAAUCCUUCUCGACUACCUUGGAGUUUGUGGUAUAGGAACUAGGUUGUUAUAUUUGUUGAUCACUAUCUUGUUUCUUAAAGAACCAUUCUUUGAGUUCUAUCCCUCGUUCAUUUGCUCUAUCUUGGGCAAAUCCUAGUGUAGGAUUACAAUGAACUACCCAACAAAACAACAUUUGUUAGUUGGUUUAUAUAAGCGAUAUCCAAAAGUUAAUUUAAGGAUAUCCCACAAGAUUGUUAUCAAACAAAUAUUGCUUAUUAGCACACAACCCCAAAUCUUAACAUGAUUAAGAUUUGUCUUUCUUUCCAACUACAUCUUAUGGAGUCAUGGAAAUUUUGGAAGAUCUUCUAAUUGACAAUCAUAUUGUUUUUAGAAGUAUAUAUAUCAUAUAUACGGGUAACUAAUAAUAUCCAACGAACUAAAUCUUAUUUAAGUUCGUUCUUCUCCUUAUGGAGAAAUCUAUUAUCUUAUGAUGCUUAUUUCCUUGAUAUCUUUCAAGGAAACUGUUCUAAAGUGUUACCUUAUCUUGGAUCAAAUCUAAGGAGGUAAAUACUUUAGACGUCUUACUCAUCAACUUACAUUACUUGAAUUCUUUGAAACAUUUUGCAAAGUAUUCGGAGUUGUGUUUAUUCAAAAUAAACUAUAGUCCAACCGAGAGUGAUCUUCGGUGAAUGUCAUACAAUAUGAGUAGUAUUAUGUUGUGGACAAGUGCCACUAACAUCUAAGUGAAUUAACCUCAACAACUUUGUGAUUCUUUAUUCUUUCCAAAAGAAUAAAGAUUCGAACAUUUCGCCUCCAUACAAUUUAAUAAGAAGGUAUUGGAUCCGGAUCUAACGAUCUAAAGCAUCCAUCUAUGACCAACUCGUAAUUUAUGUUUUAGAGGUAUCACAACUUUUAGUUGGGAUUAGUCACUACCUUGCAACCUUUUGGGUUUUAAGCAUUGUUAUAUUCUAAACAGUUAACACUACCAUAUCAUCUCUACUAUAGAGACAAUCAAUUAGAUUACAAUAAUCUAAUCAUUGAUUAAUAAAGAACAAUGUUUUGUCCAACAAAACAUUCAUCCAUCUCUACUAUAGUGACGGAAUUAAGUUCCUUAAAAUUGGAAUGUAAAGACAAUCUUU